UUUUUUUUAUUUUAAUUUUAUUAUUUAAUUUUUUUUAUUUUGAUUUGACUAGGUCAAUAAUAGCACUUUAGCUUUUUGGUUUUAAAAUUUAAAUAUAAUAUUUAUUUUUAUAGAUUUAAUUAGAAUAAUAAUUUUUGUAAUUAUAAAUUGAGAGUUAAAGUACUAUUAAUCCGCUAAAAUAAAACAAAAUGAAAAAUUGGAUUGUAAAAUUAAAUCUUUAAAAAAUUUUGUAGUCAAAGCAAAAUGAUUUAUAGCUCAUGAGUUCGGCUACUAUACUCUUAUGAGUAUGAAGCCUUUUGUACUCAUAAGUUUUUGACUGUUAGAUCUGCCCUUUAAUCAUUUUUAUCCGUUAGAUUAUACUAUUCAACCAACUACUUAUUCAACCCUAAUCCUAGGGAGCCCACCAUCAACCUAACCGUAACCACUCUUAUUCUAACCGUAUAUUUUUUCAUCUGAACAACUGAAAAUUUAUCAGUACAAAAAACUCUAUGCUCAUAUAAGUAUAGUAGCCCCAGCCUAUAGUUCAUAUAUAUUUUAUAUAUUUUAACCUAAUUUUUUUUAAAAUAUACUUCUCAAUUGAAUAAAAUCCAAAAAAAAAAAGAGCUACAUCACUUUUUAUUAAAUUCAACUAAAUAAAAUACAUAUUAUUAAUAAUUAUAUAUAUUUUUAAUUUUAACUUUAACUAUUUGGAAUUUAUAAUUAUAU
rnacentral:lncRNA from 1 species